rnacentral:rRNA from 1 species
AGAGUUUGAUCAUGGCUCAGGAUGAACGCUAGCUACAGGCCUAACACAUGCAAGUCGAGGGGAAACGACAUCGAAAGCUUGCUUUUGAUGGGCGUCGACCGGCGCACGGGUGAGUAACGCGUAUCCAACCUGCCCACCACUUGGGGAUAACCUUGCGAAAGUAAGACUAAUACCCAAUGACGUCUCUAGAAGACAUCUGAAAGAGAUUAAAGAUUUAUCGGUGAUGGAUGGGGAUGCGUCUGAUUAGCUUGUUGGCGGGGUAACGGCCCACCAAGGCGACGAUCAGUAGGGGUUCUGAGAGGAAGGUCCCCCACAUUGGAACGGAGACACGGUCCAAACUCCUACGGGAGGCA